GACGAACGCCGGCGGCGUGCCUAAUACAUGCAAGUCGAGCGAACAGAAGCAGCAGAAUUACUUCGGUAAGGACGCUGUGGAAGUUAGCGGCGGAUGGGUGAGUAACACGUGGGUAACCUACCCUUAAGACUGGGAUACCACUUGGAAACAGAUGCUAAUACCGGAUAGGAGUAUGAGCUGCAUGGCUUAUACUUUAAAGGCGGCGAAAGCUGUCACUAAAGGAUGGACCCGCGGUGCAUUAGCUAGUUGGUAAGGUAACGGCUUACCAAGGCGACGAUGCAUAGCCGAGUUGAGAGACUGAUCGGCCACAUUGGGACUGAGACACGGCCCAAACUCCUACGGGAGGCAGCAGUAGGGAAUCUUCCACAAUGGACGCAAGUCUGAUGGAGCAACGCCUCGUGAGUGAAGAAGGUUUUCGGAUCGUAAAGCUCUGUUGUUGGUGAAGAAGGAUAUAGGUAGUAACUGGCCUAUAUUUGACGGUAAUCAACCAGAAAGUCACGGCUAACUACGUGCCAGCAGCCGCGGUAAUACGUAGGUGGCAAGCGUUGUCCGGAUUUAUUGGGCGUAAAGCGAGCGCAGGCGGAGAAAUAAGUCUGAUGUGAAAGCCCACGGCUCAACCGUGGAACUGCAUCGGAAACUGUUUUUCUUGAGUGCAGAAGAGGAGAGUGGAACUCCAUGUGUAGCGGUGGAAUGCGUAGAUAUAUGGAAGAACACCAGUGGCGAAGGCGGCUCUCUGGUCUGCAACUGACGCUGAGGCUCGAAAGCAUGGGUAGCGAACAGG
rnacentral:rRNA from 1 species